GCCGGAAUGGUGGAAUGGUAGACACGAAAGACUCAAAAUCUUUUGAGGGCAACUUCGUGAGGGUUCAAGUCCCUCUUCCGGUA
rnacentral:tRNA from 1 species